rnacentral:pre_miRNA from 1 species
CAAGUACUCCCUCCGUCCGGAAUUACUUGUCAUCAAAAUGGAUGUGUCUAGAACUAAAAUACAUCUAGAUACAUCCAUUUCAAUGACAAGUAUUUUCGGACGGAGGGAGUACAUG